rnacentral:rRNA from 1 species
GACGAACGCUGGCGGCGCGCUUAACACAUGCAAGUCGAACGGAAAGGCCCAGCUUGCUGGGUGCUCGAGUGGCGAACGGGUGAGUAACACGUGGGUGAUCUGCCCCUAACUUCGGGAUAAGCUUGGGAAACUGGGUCUAAUACCGGAUAGGACAAUCGUUUAGUGUCGGUUGUGGAAAGUUUUUUCGGUUAGGGAUGAGCCCGCGGCCUAUCAGCUUGUUGGUGGGGUAAUGGCCUACCAAGGCGUCGACGGGUAGCCGGCCUGAGAGGGUGGACGGCCACAUUGGGACUGAGAUACGGCCCAGACUCCUACGGGAGGCAGCAGUGGGGAAUAUUGCACAAUGGGCGGAAGCCUGAUCCAGCAACGCCGCGUGGGGGAUGACGGCCUUCGGGUUGUAAACCUCUUUCAGUACCGACGAAGCGUGAGUGACGGUAGGUACAGAAGAAGGACCGGCCAACUACGUGCCAGCAGCCGCCGUAACAC